UACAUGGGGUGCAAACGUUGCUCGGAAUCAUUGGGCGUAAAGCGCACGUAGGCGGUUACUUAAGUCGGAUGUGAAAGCCCUCGGCUCAACUGAGGAAGUGCACCCGAAACUGAGUAGCUAGAGUACGAAAGAGGGUCGCGGAAUUCCCGGUGUAGAGGUGAAAUUCGUAGAUAUUCGGAAGAACACCAGUGGCGAAGGCGGCUCACUGGACUGGUAUUGACGCUGAGGUGCGAAAGCGUGGGGAGCAAACAGG
rnacentral:rRNA from 1 species